CUUGCAGGAUUUACCUGGAUUAAAUAAAAGACUGCUAAAAAGAGAGACAUGUCUUUCAGGUGGAUCUGGUAUGACUUGACUUCUACUUUGUUUCUGAACUUAUCAUUUAACUCAGUAUUAUCCAUAUCCCUGGGAUUCACAGGGAGGAAACAGUGGAGAAAAAGCCAAAUAACGUUUCUGGCUAAUAAAGCAAGAGAGGGAGCCAGCAAUAAGCAGAUACCUUGGUACAUUCCUCCCAGAUUAAACAGAUGUUAUUGUUUUGCCACAUUUGCUUCAAUUUUCUUUUAAGAAAUAAACAACACAGUAUGGCAAAAACCCUACCACAAUAUUCCUUUGCCUCUCUAUCCCUCCCCAGAGGUGACCAAUACCUGGAAGUGGAUAUGUAACUUUUUGUGAGUUUUUCCAUUUGUAUACAUAUGGAUGUAUCAGAAAUAAUAUGAAGAACUGUUGUGAACAUUUAAAAUGUAAAUAAAUGCUUCCAUGCUGUGCAUAUCA